UAGGGAAUCUUCCGCAAUGGGCGAAAGCCUGACGGAGCAACGCCGCGUGAGUGAUGAAGGUCUUCGGAUCGUAAAACUCUGUUAUUAGGGAAGAACAAAUGUGUAAGUAACUAUGCACGUCUUGACGGUACCUAAUCAGAAAGCCACGGCUAACUACGUGCCAGCAGCCGCGGUAAUACGUAGGUGGCAAGCGUUAUCCGGAAUUAUUGGGCGUAAAGCGCGCGUAGGCGGUUUUUUAAGUCUGAUGUGAAAGCCCACGGCUCAACCGUGGAGGGUCAUUGGAAACUGGAAAAAUUGAGUGCAGAAGAGGAAAGUGGAAUUCCAUGUGUAGCGGUGAAAUGCGCAGAGAUAUGGGGGAACACCAGUGGCGAAGGCGACUUUCUGGUCUGUAACUGACGCUGAUGUGCGAAAGCGUGGGGAUCAAACAGG
rnacentral:rRNA from 1 species